rnacentral:piRNA from 1 species
UGUUUUACUGCCAUAGGUUUGGGUCC